rnacentral:rRNA from 1 species
GAUGAACGCUGGCGGCGUGCCUAAUACAUGCAAGUCGAGCGAACGGACGAGAAGCUUGCUUUUCUGAUGUUAGCGGCGGACGGGUGAGUAACACGUGGAUAACCUACCUAUAAGACUGGGAUAACUUCGGGAAACCGGAGCUAAUACCGGAUAAUAUUUUGAACCGCAUGGUUCAAAAGUGAAAGACGGUCUUGCUGUCACUUAUAGAUGGAUCCGCGCUGCAUUAGCUAGUUGGUAAGGUAACGGCUUACCAAGGCAACGAUGCAUAGCCGACCUGAGAGGGUGAUCGGACACACUGGAACUGAGACACGGUCCAGAGUCCUACGGGAGGCAGCAGUAGGGAAUCUUCCGCAAUGGGCGAAAGCCUGACGGAGCAACGCCGCGUGGGUGAUGAAGGUCUUCGGAUCGUAAAACUCUGUUAUUAGGGAAGAACAUAUGUGUAAGUAACUGUGCACAUCUUGACGGUACCUAAUCAGAAAGCCACGGCUAACUACGUG